rfam:Cricetulus griseus cell line CHO-K1, whole genome shotgun sequence.
GUUUGUAGUAUACAGCUGUGUACAUUUGUAUUUGGCGGAUCCGAGGAGGAACUGAUGAGUUCGGACUCCCGACUGCGGCUCCAGGAGACAUCCUGGUAGC